rnacentral:rRNA from 1 species
UGGGGAAUAUUGCACAAUGGGCGAAAGCCUGAUGCAGCAACGCCGCGUGCGGGAUGACGGCCUUCGGGUUGUAAACCGCUUUCAGCAGGGACGAAGGUUUUCUGACGGUACCUGCAGAAGAAGCACCGGCUAACUACGCGCCAGCAGCCGCGGUGAUACGUAGGGUGCGAGCGUUGUCCGGAAUUAUUGGGCGUAAAGAGCUUGUAGGCGGUCCGUUGCGUCGGAAGUGAAAACUCAGGGCUUAACCCUGAGCCUGCUUUCGAUACGGGCGGACUUGAGGGAUGUAGGGGAGAACGGAAUUCCUGGUGGAGCGGUGGAAUGCGCAGAUAUCAGGAGGAACACCAGUGGCGAAGGCGGUUCUCUGGACAUUUCCUGACGCUGAGAAGCGAAAGCGUGGGGAGCAAACAGGCUUANAUACCCUGGUAGUCACGCCGUAAAGGUGGCACUAGGUGUGGACCCAUUCCACGGGUUCCGUGCCGUAGCUAACGCAUUAA